rnacentral:lncRNA from 1 species
GGAUGGUCUCGUUAUACGCAUUGGUGAGGGUACCCCUUGUUGAUACCCUCGACAUAUCUAUUUUCCUUUUUUUUUCUAGCUAGAUACCUUUCUUUGUGAUGCAAAGCAACACAUGCACCCAGGGCCGGCUCUAGAAUUUUAAGGGCCCUUGGGCAAGUAUAAAGAUAAGGGCUCAUUCAACUAACAUAUAAUAUAAAUUACUUUGCAAUAUAUGUAUAAUUCAUAAAACAUAACAAUAAUUUGGUUUUCUUGUUUUCUUGUUUUCUUUUCUUUUUUUAAGUACCCGACAAAUACUUCUUAGGCAACAUCUAAUCUAAUAUAUUCAGAUAAAUACAAUGAAUUAUAAAUUUAUAAUCCUAGGCGCUAGCACUAUACAAGCAUAGCACAUACACAAAACAAAUAAGAAAAAAGGAAAAUACUAAUGUAUCAUGACUGUUGGCGUGUUGCUUAGGCCUUGUUUAGUUCUGAAAAUAUUUUGGAUUUCGGUACUAUAGCAUUAUCGUUUCUAUUUAAUAAAUAUUGUCUAAUCAUAGACUAACUAGGCUCAAAAGAUUCAUCUCGUGAUUUACAGGUAAACUGUGCAAGUAGUUUUUGUUUUUAUCUAUAUUUAAUGCUUCAUACAUGUGCUGUGACAGGGAAUCUUGAAAAGUUUUUGGUUUUUGGAGUGAACUAAACAAGGCCUUAAUGUGAUGGCAUGUGUUUUUAUUGUUGUUGGCUGUCUCCACCGUUAUGUAGAAUAGAACUAUA